UACGGGGGGGGCAAGCGUUGUUCGGAAUUACUGGGCGUAAAGGGCGCGUAGGCGGCCUGCUAAGUCGGACGUGAAAUCCCUCGGCUCAACCGAGGAACUGCGUCCGAUACUGGUGGGCUUGAAUCCGGGAGAGGGAUGUGGAAUUCCAGGUGUAGCGGUGAAAUGCGUAGAUAUCAGGAGGAACACCUAUUGCGAAGGCAGCUCGCUGGGACGUCACUGACGCUGAGACGCGAAAGCGUGGGGAGCAAACAGG
rnacentral:rRNA from 1 species